GAAAUGCGAUAAUUAAUGUGAAUUGCAGAAUCCAGUGAAUCAUCGAGUCUUUGAACGCACAUUGCGCCCCCUGGUAUUCCGGGGGGCAUGCCUGUCCGAGCGUCAUUGCUGCCCUCAAGCACGGCUUGUGUGUUGGGCUUCCGUCCCUGGCAACGGGGACGGGCCCAAAAGGCAGUGGCGGCACCAUGUCUGGUCCUCGAGCGUAUGGGGCUUUGUCACCCGCUCCCGUAGGUCCAGCUGGCAGCUAGCCUCGCAACCAAUCUUUUUAACCAGGUUGACCUCGGAUCAGGUAGGGAUACCCGCUGAACUUAAGC
rnacentral:misc_RNA from 1 species